GGCCCCGUUCCCUAGUGGCAUGGGCGGCGGGCUCGCAUCCCGCCGUAAGAGAGUUCGAUUCUCUCCCGGGCCU
rnacentral:tRNA from 1 species